rnacentral:rRNA from 1 species
CACGCAGGCGGUCUGCCAAGUUCGGAGUGACAGUUUCCGGCUUAACCGGAAAAGGUCUUCGAAAACUGGUGGACUUGAGGACUUGAGGGGGAGACGGAAUUCCGGGUGGAGCGGUGAAAUGCGUAGAGAUCCGGAGGAACACCGAAGGCGAAGGCAGUCUCCUGGCAAGUUACUGACGCUCAGGUGCGAAAGCUAGGGGAGCGAACA